UGCGUAGGUGGUGGGGUAAGUCUCGUGUGAAAGCUCGCAGCUUAACUGCGAAAAGUCACGGGAUACUAUCCGGCUAGAGGCUUGGAGGGGGGACUGGAAUACUUGGUGUAGCAGUGAAAUGCGUAGAUAUCAAGUGGAACACCAGUGGCGAAGGCGAGUCCCUGGACAAGACCUGACACUGAGGCACGAAAGCCAGGGAGCAAACA
rnacentral:rRNA from 1 species